rnacentral:rRNA from 2 species
UUAAAUUGAAGAGUUUGAUCAUGGCUCAGAUUGAACGCUGGCGGCAGGCCUAACACAUGCAAGUCGAACGGUAACAGGAAGUAGCUUGCUGCUUCGCUGACGAGUGGCGGACGGGUGAGUAAUGUCUGGGAAACUGCCUGAU